UUUGCUUUGCUGGCUUUUCCAAGUGGUUAAACAUAACAAUCACGGGUUUAAUUUCAUCACAGUAUCGGUAAACAAUGAAAAGCGGGUAACCGACCCUGCCACUUUUAACCGACAAAGUCACUUCUACCUUCUUUGUUUGACUGUUUUUUUUUUCGAGAAACAUUUUAACUUUAAAACUCGGAGCUGGUUUUCUGCUCGGUGCAGCUCAGAUCAUUAGCAGCGGAUGUGACACCUGUUGACAAUAAAGCAGCACUGCAAAUCAUCAGCUUCACGUUCUGCUUUGGGAAGGACUUUUAGUCACAAGAACUGAUGGGGAACAGGCUCCUGCAGAAGUCUUGUUCCUUGAAGAAAGCCAUAUGUGUGAGGAUAAUCAGACAGGAGAAAGAAGCUCUCGGAUAAUGUGCAUCUGAUGCUUGUCUCUGGCAUCUAAAGGAAAUCAGAGUUGUUGGAACAGCUUGAUCAGCCACGCCAGGUUGACACGGGAGGGACGGCCCGCCGCGUCGGGAAACACCCCAAAGUGGAGGAAGGCCAGCCAGGUGCAGGGCGGAUGGCGAGCUGGGCAGUUCAAGAUCAGCAGCAGCCCCGCCGCCUCGGCCCCGAUGAUGUAAUCAUUUCCCAGCGGCACCUGGGAGCCGCGGUCGCCAUCCUGAGGCAUCGCUCACAGCCAAAUAUGCAGAUGUUUCUAAUUGCUUUCCAUUACCAACAAUAACAGCUGUUUAUAUCUAUCAGCAAAUAAUUCACAAGAGUUCCAGACUGUUAGGAUAACAUAUCCCACCUGGUCACCAUCACCAGUUGUCAGCAGCAGAGACCAGGCCGCUCGUUCACAAAUCCCCCAACGGGCUCGGGCUUCCAGUCACCUUCAGCUCCAACGUCAGGCUUUACACAGCCGAGAUAUGCAGGGAAUGUUUUACUCGAACAUGAUGUGCUUUAGUAUGUUUCUGAUUUAGAAUAAAAUAGAAAUAUCCUGUAUUGCCCAAAAAUGAGAGGAAAACCUGGUGUAAUAAAGUGACAGGAAUCGAAGCAUGUAGAAUUAAAAACGGAGGCAAAAUUACAACAUAAAAUGCUGUGCAGUUUUUAAAAGUCCAAUUAAAAGCAAUAUGCACCUGUGUAGCAUGUUU